rnacentral:misc_RNA from 1 species
ACCCUACAUCUUCGUGCGUAUCAUAAUAAUGACAGCGUUUGGUCAUCCUCAAAGACGGAACGAAUUCGAUCAUGUCGACGUAGUCGCAGAAGGACAGCGUCAAAGCGAGGCCUGCAGGGAAAGUUCAACUAUGAAAAGGAACCAGAGCCCAUUUGAGUUCAACUACUUGUGGUGGGCGGAAGUAAUCUGCUAAAAUGUACGGCCUUUUACUGGAGAGUCUUGCUUGCUACAUCAAAGAGAAUUAUGGUGAUGAAAAAUGGGAGGAAAUUCGACGAGCAGCGGCUAUCGAACACAUCUCUUUCUCUACUCAUCAAAUCUAUCCGGAGAACUUGAUUCCGAAAUUGUCGGCAAAAGCCAUUGAGCUGCUGCAUGUUCCCGAACAUGAAUUCAUGGCUCACAUGGGCGAAUACUUUGUCGAUUUUGUUGGCCAGUAUGGCUACGAUCGAGUCCUGUCCGUCCUCGGCCGUCACAUGCGUGAUUUCCUCAACGGAUUAGACAAUUUGCACGAGUAUUUAAAGUUUUCCUAUCCGCGGAUGAGGGCGCCUUCUUUCUUUUGCGAGAAUGAAACCAGCACCGGAUUAACGCUUCACUACCGGUCAAAGAGACGUGGUUUCGUACACUACACGAUGGGGCAAAUCAAACAGGUUGGCAAAGAAAUCUACAAAUUGGACGACGUUGAAAUCACCAUCAUCAAGGAAGAGAUGUCUUUCGAUAUGCACGUGGUGACGUUUAAUCUCAAGUUCGAUAAUCGAGCCUUUUGUGCGCUGACAGCCUUGGAUCGUGAGGAUCAAUGUCUACCACUCAAAGCAUCCAUUUUCAUCGAUAUCUUUCCAUUCUGCAUUUUGUUUGGACCUGACAUGAUCAUAAAAAACAUUGGGAAUUCGCUAGCUCACAUUCUUCCUGAAUUAAUUGGCCAAGAUAUUUCCGAAGUCUUCGAUCUAACGCGCCCCUUGAUCGACUUCAAAUUCACAUCGAUAUUGAAACGAACCAACAACAUUUUCGAGCUGGUCUCGCAGCGAUCAUUGAUAACUGGUGGGAGCGAAGUCGCAGAUGAAGACGAAGACCAUACUAGAAAGAUUCAUUUGAAAGGACAAAUGCUGUACAUGGAAGAAUGGAAGAUGAUUGUCUUUCUAGGCACGCCACAGAUGAACGAUCUUGACGCUAUGAUACGCGUUGGUCUUUUUAUCAACGAUUUAUCGAUGCACGAUUUUUCCAGGGAUCUGAUGAUGGCAGGGACGCAGCAGUCAGUUGAAUUGAAAUUGGCACUCGACCAAGAACAGCAAAAAUCUAAAAAAUUGGAAGAAUCCAUGAAGAAACUGGACGAAGAAAUGAAAAGAACAGAUGAACUACUCUACCAAAUGAUACCGAAAUUGGUGGCUGAUCGGCUUCGCAAAGGGGAAAAUCCCGUUGAUACAUGCCAGGUUUUUGAAUGUGUGACGAUCCUCUUCAGCGACGUAGUGACAUUCACGGAGAUCUGCAGUCGCAUCAGCCCUAUGGAAGUUGUUUCGAUGCUCAACUCAAUGUACUCCAUCUUUGAUCGUCUCACCGAGCUCAACGGCGUAUACAAGGUGGAGACGAUUGGUGAUGCUUACAUGGCGGUGGGUGGCGCCCCCGUCAAAGACGUCCUUCACGCCGAACGAACGUGUGACAUGGCCAUGGAUAUGGUGGACGCCAUACAGGAUCUAACUGAUCCGUCUGCAGGGCAGCAUUUAAGGAUUCGAGUAGGCAUUCACUCUGGCGCUGUAGUAGCAGGCGUCGUGGGACUCAAAAUGCCGCGUUACUGCCUCUUCGGUGACUCCGUCAAUACGGCGUCAAGAAUGGAGUCUACCAGCGAGCCGAUGAAAAUUCACAUUUCGCAGACCACGCACGAACUACUGGGCGCUGACUAUGCAACUGCGGAACGCGGAGAGAUUGUCGUCAAAGGCAAAGGUCAGAUGAAAACUUAUUGGCUGACGGGGAAAAAAGGACGAUGUGCUUCAGACCGAACAGGUAGAAUCUCUGCUGUUCCGGAAGAAUUGCAGGCGGAAGGCAGAGCGGGAUCGGUGGCCAAUCGAAGAUACAGCCCAGUCACCAUGGAUGAUGUCACCAUGGCUCGCAAAGGUGCGAUCAGCGUGAGCAAUCGUAGCAGUCCAGUUCAAUUGGCCAGAUCAGGGGGAUCUUUACGUGAACCAUCACUUCAGAGUCGACGCAGCAUCAAAGAAAUGGAGAAGGCGUUACAGACGCCAUUAAAGUCCACGGUUACAGGCAAGAGCAAGUUAUAUGACGAUGUGAUCCGAAACAUCACCUCAUCAGCCAGCAGUCACCUGGCGAUUUCUGCAACUCCGUCUCCUUCGUUGCAAUCGUCAAAGCCAUCGCCCCAGAAGUUUGAUUUGAAGUUCAUAUGUCCUCAUGCAACCAAAGCUCUCGGAGGAAAGAAAUCGCUCGGCGCAGGAAUAAACAGUCCCAGGACGCCUUCAACACCCCCAAUCUCUUCAUUCGCGCCUCAUUCCAAAAUUAACAACGCUCUACCAGAUAUUACUGUCAGUCAUAAUGGCACCAAGAAAGACUCACCAGCUGGUCUCCCUACUCCCGACGGUCGGUCCGAUGGUUUUACGGGCUUACCAUUCAGUUUUCCCAACGAUGCCAUACUUGAGAAGACGCAUGACGGAAGUACAGCAGCGGCGGCUGCAGCAGCCGUUUCAGCCGCCGCUACCGCCAUGGCGUCCGGUCUAGGCAACGAAUUUUGCUGCCCGAAUUUCGUCGUUCGGCCACCGCGGCUCACCGUGACUAUGACCUCUGCUGAUGGAGAUCCUAGGAGUGCCACGUGUGCUUUGCUGUAAAUUCUAUAAACAUAAUUCAAUAGGGAAGAAAGAAAAAAAAAGGAAAGUUGUCACGGGAAAUUAGAGAAACAAGUCGUCCCAAUCAACGGAAGUAGAAGGAAAAAACAAGGUACACUCACUCGGCAUCCAGUCCACGAACGCUUAUCGAUUCCUUGACGUCUACAACACAUUCCAUCAUUCUGUCGACCCCCUCACAACUACCGAACGUCAAGCUAGAAAGGCUGUCCCAACACUGAAAGAUUGAGCUAUUUUCAGUAAUGCCGUUGUUCCUUGGAUUUGAUGAAGUCAUCAACAUGUUGUCGGUUCUAACGACUAUCCCGUCCUAUUAAAUUUGCUCUCCCCCCAUCCACUGAAAAAGAAAAAGAAAGAAAAAAGGAAAGAAGAGAAUGAGGCGAGCAACCUUCCUUGACAUUUUGCAGGUUGAAAAUGGAAGAGAUUGACUAUCUACUUGUAUGAUCUUUGUUGUGUAAAGCGUUUCUUCUUGCUGUUUUGGUUCACUUUGCUUUCUAGUCGAUUAUGUAUCUGUACGACGAGGAUAUCAUAUCAUGUUGCUGCGGCGUAUUUCAAAAUGUUUUAUACGAACGACGAAAACGAAAAGCCCGACUGAGGAGCAGACGAUUGCUUUCACCGCUUUGUUCGAGAAUCAAGACAUUCUGGAGUGGUACAUUCACCGUGCACAACCACUACCAUAUUGUCAUCGCGCCAACCUAGUCAGUUGUAUACCCUCGCUCUUCCUGCCCUUCCACGCAGAUCAAUACAAUCAAUGACGUUCACAAGGAA